rnacentral:rRNA from 1 species
GACGAACGCUGGCGGCGUGCUUAACACAUGCAAGUCGAACGGUGAAGCGCCUUCCUUUUUGGUGGGUGUGGAUGAGUGGCGAACGGGUGAGUAACACGUGAGUAACCUGCCCCCUUCUUCUGGAUAACCGCAUGAAAGUGUGGCUAAUACGGGAUAUUCUGGGUCUGUCGCAUGAUGGGUCUGGGAAAGAUAUUGUUUCGGUGGGGGAUGUGCUCGCGGCCUAUCAGCUUGUUGGUGGGGUGAUGGCCUACCAAGGCGGUGACGGGUAGCCGGCCUGAGAGGGUGGACGGUCACACUGGGACUGCGACACGGCCAAGACUCCUACGGGAGGCAGCAGUGGGGAAUAUUGCACAAUGGGCGCAAGCCUGAUGCAGCGACGCCGCGUGAGGGAUGGAGGCCUUCGGGUUGUGAACCUCUUUCGCCAGUGAAGCAGGCCUGCCUCGUUUGUGGGUGGGUUGACGGUAGCUGGAUAAGAAGCGCCGGCUAACUACGUG